ACUGACAUGUUUGAUUGAAGCUUCGGGAACACUUGUUCUCAAGAUGCAUUUAUGGGCUUUCCAGAGACUUCACAGACAGAUGUUCUCCAAACAUGAAAAAACAGAGCUCUCUGAAACUCUAGCCUGUAUAAAACUGUCUGAUAUGCACAAUGCUGAAUUUUGAAACCACUUUUGUAGGACUAUAAUGAACAAUAUCUGGCCUGGCAGAAUGGGAAUGUAGAAGUUUUUGUGAUUGGUUUGACCUCUAAUUGAACACACCCCUUUUUCCAGAUGAACUUUCAAAAGGAGUAUUUCAAGGUUUUGCUCUUCAGAUUGUAUCUCAACCAUAAUCUAUGCUUUUCCAUGAGGGUCACAUAGGAAUUCUUCUAGUUACUGGUGCAAGUCCUUCUAAAACUUAAUGUUAAAGCUGAAUUUAAUGCUCUACAUUCUUAUUCUUUCGAGGCCAAAAAACUGUCAAUGCUCCAAAAAUGCCCAAGCAGAUGAGCUCGGAGUUGUCACAAGGAAUAGAUGUCACUCUUACAGAUUGGGAAGGAAUGAUUCAGCCAUUGGGAUACCAUGUGAGAUACACAAAUGCCACCAGCUGCCACAGGAGAAUUGUAGCCCCAUUAAAAUCCAUUAUUUGCCUUGAAGUCCUGGACUUUCUGGACUGAAAGAAAUCUCUCUAAUUGUCACGGCCAACUGGUGGUGUGUGAAGGAUUUGGACUAACGAAAGAGUUACUCAGCAACUUCAGUGGUGACACUUCUAUCUAUCCCAUAAAAUCUUGAGGUUCAGUAGUGACAGCGACUUUCCCUUCCAGGACUUCAGCAGCCAUGAAAGGCUUUCUCUCAACUUCCUCUACUCAGGAAACAUCAUCGGAUAAGUCCAAUUUUGUAGGGAGGGUGGAGAAGUAAAGCCUAAAGUAUGGCUGUUAUAUAUAUAAAAAAAUCUGUUCUGAAGAGAAAUGGUGGUUAUUAAUAAGAGAUCUAUUAGAGACCUUGAGUGUUGAUUGAAUGCACAAGUAGUGAUCUAAUUACUGUGCUCAUUUCCUGCUAUAAACCUGUAAAAAAGAGUUCCUGUCUUAUCUGUUGCUCUCUAUCUGCCUCUUUCCAUUCUGCUCUACAAAACCAGAAUCCCCUCUCCCUGUAGUCUGUCUGUUAUUCCUUCUACAAUCUCUCUUCUGCUUCUCCACCUAGCAGGAAAUAAUGCUGCCAGGUGCUGCUGUUACCACUGCUUACCUCCUCAGACUUCACCUCUGCCCCACACCCAGGGAGCUACACAGUUAAUUGGGCUCUAAGCUUAAAGAGCAAAGGAAACCUCCCUCACAUUCUUAUUUCCCAGGCAGGGACAGAGCUGGUGACAUGGGUGGACAGUUUUCUCUGUGAACAGCACUGCCCUGGCACCAUUAAGCAAAUCAGUACUUUGAUCCCUCAGAUCAGAGAAACUUGGAGCUGGAAAGAUGUGUCCAAUCUGACUCUUCUGUUUGCGGAAGCAAACUAUUUUGCCUUUCUAGCAACUUGAGCCACAUCUAAUCCUCUCCCAUACCCCUUUCUUCUGUCCUACCUGUGCUCCUCACUGCUGUGUGAAUGAGCACAUCUGCUUGGGCAAGUGUGUUGGGCUUCAGAAGUAAAUCACAGCAAUUAAAUUUCUCUUAUUAAAAUGCACCAGUCUUACAGCAGCGUCACCAGAGAUCUGUUUGCUCUUUCGUGCAAACAUGCACUUUUCCAAGAUGAACUUCAAACCCUAGCUCUGAAAAUGAGGAGAUGCCUUUUCCAUUUGCCUGCAGCCUGGCUAAAAACUCCUCUUGGCUCAGAUUCCCCUCCCCAGAAUAGUCUGUAAUCUCUCUGUAUUUGUCUACCUCAGGUAAGAUAGCACUCUCCUUUCAGGUCAGGACUCUGGAAACAUGGAGGUUGCUGACAAAGGUAAAACUGGUUUUAACUUUCCAUAAACCUGAUGAGAGGGAAGUAGUAGAAAGCCUAUUAAAAAAAAAAUCCUUCUCUUCUUUUUAUGCACAUUUUAUGUUUAUGGCUUGGGAGUUAAUCUCUGUCAUGGGUAAGUGUCAACAUUUGGGUAUGAAAUGGUCACCAACAACAUUAGCCAUGUCAGUACUAAAUGUACUUUCUUAAUUCUUCACAUUCCUAUUUUACUGUAUUCACUUUCAAUUCUUGCUACCAAGGCUGCUAUAUAUGUUUGGAAAAAUGCAUGGAUACUUGAAAGAAAAAAAAAACCCAAACAACAAAACAAAACCUCACCAGAAAAGUCCCAUACCCUAGCUAAAUCAAAAAAUCUUAAAUAUGUUGAAUCUAAGAACUCUGCACUUUGUAUGAAGGCUUGAACUUUAGCCAGGUUGACCAGUCUGCCUGAAGCAUGUUCCCAGCUGUCAGCCAGAGGGAUCCUCAAGGUGAAAGUUUAAAAUCCUCAUCAAGCUUCUACAACUUUCAUGUUUCCAGCAAGCUCAGUUUCCUUUCCCUCAUCACCCCAAAAAGUAUGCUGUCAGACCCACUCUCCUUUCACCCCAGUAAACCAGGAUGUGAUGGUAGUCAAUUUAAUUUUUUUUUGAAUUCCUGAAAACAAUGUAGACCAUUCCACCAAACCAUGCAAUAAAAUGUUCACAUCUCUAGAACAUUGCAUUCUGCAUUUUAAUCAGCUUUGUGGCAACUAUAAAUGAGAGGCAAAAGCAUCAUAGAAUCAUAGAACAGUUUGGGUUGGAAGGACCUUAAAGAUGAUACAGUUCCAAACACCCUGCCAUGGGCAGGAACACCUUCCCCUAGACCAAGUUGCUCAAAACCCUGUCCAACCUGGCCUUGAACACAGCCAAUUUAUUUUGUCAGAAAAAUCUUUCAACAUGUUCUCUGUGUUAAAGCAGCUUCCUGACCCUGCACUUCAAAACUGAUGAAACUGUAGGAUACAGGGGCCUCAAAAUCCUUCUUGUAGAGUUGUAUGAGCAGCCAACACAAAGUGAACUGGAAGGCAGCAGCCAGUGUUAAGUGAGACUCUGGGUCUUUCCCUGCAUAUGUCACUGUGCUGGUUUGGGCUGGGGCAGAGUUAAUUUUCUUGAAAGUAGCUGGUGUGGGGCUGUGUUCUGGAUUUGUGCUGAAAAGGGUGUUGGGUAAUAGAGGUGUUUUUUAUUACUGCUAAGCAGUGCUUACACAGAGUCAAGGCAUUUUCUGCUUCUCAUAUUGCCCUGCCAGCGAGGAAGCUGGGGGUGCACAAGGAGUUAUGAGGGGAGACAGGCAGGACAGCUGACCAAAGGAAUAUCCCAUACCAUGUGGCAUCAUGCUCAGCAUAUAAAGCUGGUGGAAGAAGGAGGAAGUGGGAGGGAACAUUUGGAGUGGUGGUGUUUGUCUUCCCAAGUAACUGUUACCCGUGAUGAAGCCCUGCUUUCCUGGGGAUGGCAGAACACCUGCCUGCCAGCGGGAAGUGGUGAAUGAAUUCCUUGUUUUGCUUUGCUUGUAUGCAUGGCCUUUGCUUCACCUAUUAAACUGUCAUUAUCUCAACCCACAAGUUUUCUCACUUUUACUCUUCCAGUUCUCUCCCUGAUCCUGCUGGUGGGGAAGUGAGUGAGUGGCUGUAUGGGGUUUAGUUGCCAGCUGGGGUUAAACUGUGACAGACACAAAGCAGUGCUGCUGUUAUCACACUGUUUAUUUGCUGAAUGUGCUUUCCCUUAAGCUGCUGUCUGAGAUCAUUUCACGAUACUCUUCCAUGCUCUGAUGAAUUCAAAACUGCAGCGAGUUAAUUCAGUGCUCACCCCAGGCACCCGACACUGGGUGGUAGUCCCUGUAUCUCUGCAGUUCACACUGCCACUGAAGCAAGUACAGAAACACCCCUGAGGAAUGAGCGAUUAUUUAAACUAGUUUUUGGAUUGGCUUGCUUUUGUUUAAAGCAGAUGCUUAUUGGGAGGAACGAUUGGUCUCAGCGUGUAACUGACCUCAGAUUAAUUAAUAACCACUGUCUGGAACCCGACACUGCAAACGGGAAGCAGAAAACAAACAGUUUAAGCCAUCUGUGCUAACUUUUGCUUGAGAGCUUGGCUGCUCUUAUUAGAGGGUUGUGCCUUUUCCUGUGGCACACAGAAGGGAGAGGGGGAGUCCAUUAAAAAAAGGUUAGUUCCCAUAGUGUAAUCCACCAAAAGAGGGGAAAUAGGGGGAUGUGUUGUAUCUCAGCCCUCAAAAUUCUCAGUAGGUUUCUCUGUACCAGUUCUACCACUGACAAGAUUUUAAUGGAUUUAUUUUCUGUUAAACCUUUUUUCCCCCCUAGAUUCAUCUUCUAUUUUACUAGUUUCUGAGGAAAGUAAAUACUCUUCCCUUCCAGUUUCAUUCCUUUCCUUUCUUGUGCUGACAUCUCUU